UCUCAAGUAUAUGAGACAUGCUAACUCAAUUCAAUCUUGAGAAACCUUUUGAUAGAUAACAACUCUCCCUAAAGGUUUAUAUUAUAAAUAAUAAACUAAUAAAAAAUAUUGAUAUUAGAGAUUAUAGAGGAAAGGGUUAUAUUUUAGAAGCAUAUAGUAAUGGUCAGAGAUGAUUGUGCUCCGGAAAAAAUUUAGAUUUACAGAUUUUUUGCCAACCGCGUUCUGGAAGUAAGUUUCUGGAAAUUUUAAGAAAUCACUGAUCGCAUUAAUGUAUAAAAACUCUUUUAUAUUUUAUUUAAAAAUAUUAGAACUAUAAUUUAUACUUGGCAUCUCUUUCAUUUGUAAAUAUUUUUUCUGGUAGAAUAAUAAAAGUGAUUAGAGACAAAAUUAAACGUAUACUUAAUUAUUAAUUUAAAUUGGGCUGCCUAUAAUUGAUUUGGAAUUUCAUGUUUUGAAAAUAUGAAUGAAUUAAAUUUAUUUAGACAUUAAUUUUUUGAAAUGCUUCAUUAAUGAUUUCGCCCAAGAAAUUUUCAGGAUUUUUGAGUUGGGCUCACAAUCACCCCUGAAUGGUAUAAGUUCAGAAUAAAAAAAUAUUUUAAUAAUAUUGGAUAAUCAGAUGUACAAUUAAACAAGUUUUCGUGUUAGUUACGUAAAUAAUAAUUGAGUACGUAUGUAAUAAUUUAGUUAUAAAACUUAAUCCGUGAAAUUUACUUUUGCAUUGUUAGUUGUGCACAAAACCAUACUCCUGCAUGUACUAGUUAUAAAAAUAAGGCGAUUGUUACAUAAACUGGCAUCCCUGUUUUUCCUUUUCACUCUCUUAAUGCAUGCUUUGUAGAAAUAAUAUCUUCUUCUUCCUCCUGUAGUCGCAUGAAGAAGCUCAUACUUUAUCUGUAGAUUGGAAUACUAUCCUGGAGCAGAGGUUGAAAGAACUAGCCAAACAGACUCCCGAUGCUAUCCCCAAAGUUCCCAGCCCCAUACCACCUCCUGUAUUUGUGAGUCCCCCUGCCAAGCCAAGAGAAAUAAUGAACUCAGGAAAGCCCUCAUCCGAUUUGAUGUCUCUGAAUCAAUCAGUUUUAGGUGGAGGUUUCAUACAGGCUGUCCCUUACCCACAAGAAGAUCUUUCAGCAGUUUAGCCUCAAGCAAUGGCUCCAAAUUUUGUCACUGAAGUACCUUUUAAUGCUGCAUUUCCUGUGGUUCACCAAGCUGAUACAGGAGGUUUUGAUGCACUUGCGGAUGUGUUGCAGCCUCAGGCAACCAGUAGUCCCGUUCCCCCCAAAGAGUGUGAUCCAAAGUCAUCUCCCACAUCUACACCAGGGGGAAGACUCAUAUCAUCCGACUUAGAUUCAAGCCUUCAAACUUGAGUCCAAAAUCUAGACAUCAAUGGACCAAAGAAAUCUCCUGCCAAGUAAGUUUUUCUAUUUUAAAUAUCUUAUGAAGUUUAUCUUGAAAUAUUUCUCUGUUUAAAAACCCUCCUUAAUUCUAUUUCAAAUACA